UACGUAGGUGGCGAGCGUUGUCCGGAAUUACUGGGUGUAAAGGGCGUGUAGGCGGGCUAUUAAGUCAGAUGUGAAAUUCCGAGGCUUAACCUCGGCGCUGCAUCUGAAACUGAUGGUCUUGAGUGCUGGAGAGGAAAGUGGAAUUCCUAGUGUAGCGGUGAAAUGCGUAGAUAUUAGGAGGAACACCAGUGGCGAAGGCGGCUUUCUGGACAGUAACUGACGCUGAGGCGCGAAAGCGUGGGGAGCAAACAGG
rnacentral:rRNA from 1 species